GUAAAACACCGGUUCCCAUAAGAUCACCGAAGUUAAGCAACGUUUAGCCGAGUCAGUACCUACAUGGGGGACUGCUUUGGAAUACCAGGUGCUGUAA